UACGUAGGGCGCAAGCGUUAUCCGGAAUUAUUGGGCGUAAAGAGCUCGUAGGCGGUUUGUCGCGUCUGCCGUGAAAGUCCGGGGCUCAACUCCGGAUCUGCGGUGGGUACGGGCAGACUAGAGUGAUGUAGGGGAGACUGGAAUUCCUGGUGUAGCGGUGAAAUGCGCAGAUAUCAGGAGGAACACCGGUGGCGAAGGCGGGUCUCUGGGC
rnacentral:rRNA from 1 species